UGGGGAAUUUUGGACAAUGGGCGCAAGCCUGAUCCAGCCAUACCGCGUGAGUGAAGAAGGCCUUCGGGUUGUAAAGCUCUUUCAGACGGAAAGAAACGGUUACGGCUAAUACCCGUGACUAAUGACGGUACCGUAAGAAGAAGCACCGGCUAACUACGUGCCAGCAGCCGCGGUAAUACGUAGGGUGCGAGCGUUAAUCGGAAUUACUGGGCGUAAAGCGUGCGCAGGCGGUUUGGUAAGACAGAUGUGAAAUCCCCGGGCUUAACCUGGGAACUGCAUUUGUGACUGCCAGACUAGAGUGUAGCAGAGGGGGUAGAAUUCCACGUGUAGCAGUGAAAUGCGUAGAUAUGUGGAGGAAUACCGAUGGCGAAGGCAGCCCCCUGGGCUAACACUGACGCUCAUGCACGAAAGCGUGGGGAGCAAACAGGAUUAGAUACCCAAGUAGUCCCUGAGCGGGCUGGCAAGGCGCAU
rnacentral:rRNA from 1 species